rnacentral:lncRNA from 7 species
GGGGAGGCAGGUGCUGCUGCGAAUGUGCUGUUUCUUGUUUUCUGAAUGCUUCCAGGUUAAAGCACAGCCAUCUCCAUACUGACAGAGAGGAAGUCACAGAGUUACAGCGUUGACCAGCACAGUGGCUGGAGGUGAUAGAGGUCUGGGAAGUGAAGAGAGGCUUCGUGCUUCCUAGCUGAAGAGUUGUUGUGCUCUGAGUCCGCUGUUGAUAGCACCCAUAGACCACCUCCUUCCUGCUAAUUAGGCCUCAUGAACACGGCCUCUGGAAAUGGCUUGAGAAGUGUGUUGGGUGGGUGGUUUUUUUCCGACCAGCCACUACGCCAUCAUAAAUAAGGGAACGGUGCUGUAUGUAGCUAUUACACCAGGCUCGUUUGGCAGGCCGUAAUUUAAUAGAACAACAACGAUCAGACUGGUAUAUCAGUUAAUUUUCAAAACAUUUUAUUCCACACAAAUUAGCACAGGUCCUGGAGGGCAAAAUGACAAGAGGUUACUCGUACACUGUGUAUUUAAUUAAUUGAAAAAUGCUCAGAUUGCUUUUACAGUUGUUAUUAGAAAGUAGAAUCAGUGUUGCCAGUGCUCAACCAUAAUUAGAGCCCCAGGGAAUUAAAUAUUUAGCAUUAGUAAUGUAACAGCACUUAGGACACAAAUUUCUAUUUUUGUAAUGAAAGCAAUGCAGCAUAAGUGCAAAUGGCUGAAACGACAGCUGUGACAAGUGAAGCAGCCUGGGAUAUUUCAAUAGGACACCUCAUUGGACAGCAAGUCUUACCGCAUUACUCGUUCGUAAGAGAUCUGCAAGUCGAAAUCCCAGCAGCCACGCAUGGCACCCCGUGCUCAGGCUUCUAAUUGCUCGCAGGACGAACGCUUGGACAAAUGUCACAGCGCCAGGGGUGGGGACGGGCCGUGUUGCCCCACGUACCGGGCAGGGCAGAGCGGGAAGCCAGCCCUUGUUUGUUGGGACUUUAAUUACAUCUUAAGCAGAAGCGCUUUCAGUAGCAGCACAGGGCGAGAGGUCGGACGUUGGGCUCUAACGAGCGGUGCUGGCGGAGGGCCCGAGGGAUUGGCUCUGCGCGGGGCCGUGCACAGCUCCGAGCUGCUUUGUUCUGAGCCGCGCGGCCCGUCGCGAGGUGCGGUGCUAAGCAGGAAUAAAGCACGACGACU